GAUGAACGCUAGCGGCAGGCUUAACACAUGCAAGUCGAGGGGCAACACGGGUAGCAAUACCUGGUGGCGACCGGCGCAAGGGUGCGUAACGCGUGAGCAACAUGCCCUAUACAGGGGGAUAAUCCAGGGAAACUUGGUCUAAUAUCCCAUAGUAUUUAGAGGUGGCAUCACCACUAAAUUAAAGCUUCGGUGGUAUAGGAUUGGCUCGCGUGACAUUAGCUGGAUGGUGGGGUAACGGCUCACCAUGGCGAUGAUGUCUAGGGGUUCUGAGAGGAAGACCCCCCACACUGGGACUGAGACACGGCCCAGACUCCUACGGGAGGCAGCAGUGAGGAAUAUUGGACAAUGGAUGGAAAUCUGAUCCAGCCAUGCCGCGUGCAGGAGACGGCCCUAUGGGUUUAAACUGCUUUUAUAUGGGAGCAAUAAGGUUUACGCGUAGACCGAUGAGAGUACCAUAUGAAUAGCAUCGGCUAACUCCGUG
rnacentral:rRNA from 1 species